AACGAACGCUGGCGGCAUGCCUAACACAUGCAAGUCGAACGAAGCCUUCGGGCUUAGUGGCGCACGGGUGCGUAACGCGUGGGAAACUGCCCUUGGGUUCGGAAUAACAGUUAGAAAUGACUGCUAAUACCGGAUGAUGUCUUCGGACCAAAGAUUUAUCGCCCAAGGAUGAGCCCGCGUAGGAUUAGGUAGUUGGUGGGGUAAUGGCCCACCAAGCCGACGAUCCUUAGCUGGUCCGAGAGGAUGAUCAGCCACACUGGGACUGAGACACGGCCCAGACUCCUACGGGAGGCAGCAGUGGGGAAUAUUGGACAAUGGGCGAAAGCCUGAUCCAGCAAUGCCGCGUGAGUGAUGAAGGCCUUAGGGUUGUAAAGCUCCUUUACCAGGGAUGAUAAUGACAGUACCUGGAGAAUAAGCUCCGGCUAACUCCGUGCCAGCCGCCGCAGUAAUAC
rnacentral:rRNA from 1 species